CAGCGCCGCGGGAAUACGGAGGGUGCAAGCGUUAAUCGGAAUUACUGGGCGUAAAGCGCACGCAGGCGGUUUGUUAAGUCAGAUGUGAAAUCCCCGGGCUCAACCUGGGAACUGCAUUUGAAACUGGCAAGCUAGAGUCUCGUAGAGGGGGGUAGAAUUCCAGGUGUAGCGGUGAAAUGCGUAGAGGUCUGGAGGAAUACCGGUGGCGAAGGCGGCCCCCUGGACGAAGACUGACGCUCAGGUGCGAAAGCGUGGGGAGCAAACAGGAUUAGAUACCCGGGUAGUCCCUGUCUCUUAUACA
rnacentral:rRNA from 1 species